UGGGGAAUAUUGGACAAUGGGCGAAAGCCUGAUCCAGCAAUGCCGCGUGAGUGAUGAAGGCCUUAGGGUUGUAAAGCUCUUUUACCCGGGAUGAUAAUGACAGUACCGGGAGAAUAAGCCCCGGCUAACUUCGUGCCAGCAGCCGCGGUAAUACGAAGGGGGCUAGCGUUGCUCGGAAUCACUGGGCGUAAAGCGCACGUAGGCGGAUUCUUAAGUCAGGGGUGAAAUCCCGGAGCUCAACUCCGGAACUGCCUUUGAUACUGAGAAUCUUGAGUUCGAGAGAGGUGAGUGGAACUGCGAGUGUAGAGGUGAAAUUCGUAGAUAUUCGCAAGAACACCAGUGGCGAAGGCGGCUCACUGGCUCGAUACUGACGCUGAGGUGCGAAAGCGUGGGGAGCAAA
rnacentral:rRNA from 1 species